AGAGUUUGAUCAUGGCUCAGGAUGAACGCUGGCGGCAGGCUUAAUACAUGCAAGUCGAACGGUAACAGUACUAGCAAUAGUAGCUGACGAGUGGCGCACGGGUGCGUAACGCGUAUGCAACCUACCCAUAAUUGGAACAUAACGUUGAGAAAUUAACGCUAAUAUUCUAUGUGAAUAUGAAGAGGCAUCUUUUUAUAUUUAAAGAUUCAUUGAUUAUGGAUGGGCAUGCGUAUCAUUAGCUUGUUGGUGAGGUAACGGCUCACCAAGGCGACGAUGAUUAGGGGUUCUGAGAGGAUAUCCCCCCACACUGGAACUGAGACACGGUCCAGACUCCUACGGGAGGCAGCAGUAGGGAAUAUUGGGCAAUGGAAGCAAUUCUGACCCAGCCAUGCCGCGUGAAGGAAUACAGCCCUAUGGGUUUUAAACUUCUUUUAUUAUAGAGUAAACGGAGGUACGUGUACCUCCCUGCAAGUAUAUGAUGAAUAAGGAUCGGCUAACUCCGUGCCAGCAGCCGCGGUAAUACGGAGGAUCCAAGCGUUAUCCGGAUUUAUUGGGUUUAAAGGGUGCGCAGGCGGAUCAAUAAGUCAGGGGUGAAAAAUUUCAGCUUAACUGGAAUCGUGCCUUUGAUACUGUUGGACUAGAGUAUAAUUGACGUGACUGGAAUGUGAUGUGUAGCGGUGAAAUGCUUAGAUAUGUCACAGAACGCCAAUCGUGAAGACAGGUCACGAAAUUAUUACUGACGCUCAUGCACGAAAGCGUGGGGAUCAAACAGGAUUAGAUACCCUGGUAGUCCACGCUGUAAACGAUGAUUACUCGUUGUUGGGCAGUGAUGCUCAGUGGCUAAGCGAAAGCGAUAAGUAAUCCACCUGGGGAGUACGAUCGCAAGGUUGAAACUCAAAGGAAUUGACGGGGGCCCGCACAAGCGGAGGAGCAUGUGGUUUAAUACGAUGAUACGCGAGGAACCUUACCCGGGCUUGAACGUAAGACGAAUAUAUAAGAGAU
rnacentral:rRNA from 1 species